GCCAGUGUGGUAUAGUGGUUUGAGUGUUGGACUGCAACUCUGGAGAUCACGGUUUGAUUCCCUGCUCAGUCA